AGGGCGCCCUCCGCGGGCGUGGGAGCCGUUUCUUAGGGACACAGAGAGGAUUUGUUUAUAGAUGGAUUUUAGCGCAAGGAAAAGAACAUGAUUUGUUCUGCAGGGUUGGGCGAGCAAAUGCGUUCAGCCAGGGAGGAGCGAGGCACUGCCGUUUCUUCCGCAGACGGGUGUUAGAGAUCUCUGCUGUCCAGGGUUCAGCCGGGCUGCUGAAACACGAUCCUUUAUCCAGAAGUCACAGAUGCAAACUAGCUCCGUUUAAAGGUUCAUCCCAAGGGCUCAAAUCAAACCUGAGAUUGUGCAGAAGCUGCACUUCCACCCUGCGGGGACACAUCGCAUCGCCAGCCCUUCUGUGUGUCUAGCGAAAUUGUCGGCCCCUCCCAGGAGCUGUUUCCACCCUCUCCCGCCAGUGAGUCAUCCUCAGAGGCCGCUCUCCGAGAAGGUGGGAUGGGCGAGCAGGAGGAGGUGUCAGAACGGGAAAGCUGUUCUGUUCUUCCCUUGAAAAUUCACUUUGCAGCUU
rnacentral:lncRNA from 1 species